GACGAACGCUGGCGGCGUGCUUAACACAUGCAAGUCGAACGGACAGGCCCUGCUUUCGGGGUACUCGAGUGGCGAACGGGUGAGUAACACGUGGGUGAACUGCCCUGCACUUCGGGAUAAGCUUGGUAAACUGGGUCUAAUACCGGCUAGGAACCAUCUUUAGUGUGGUGGUUGGAAAGUUUUUUCGGUGUAGGCUGGGCUCGCGGCCUAUCAGCUUGUUGGUGGGGUAAUGGCCUACCGAGGCGGCGACGGGUAGCCGGCCUGAGAGGGUGUACGGCCACAUUGGGACUGAGAGGCGGCCCAGACUCCGACGGGAGGCAGCAGUGGGGAAUAUUGGACAAUGGGAGCAAGCCUGAUGCAGCGACGCCGCGUGGGGGAUGAAGGCCGUCGGGUUGGAAACUCCUUUCGCUAGGGACGAAGCUUUGUUGUGACGGUACCUAGAUAAGAAGCACCGGCUAACUACGUG
rnacentral:rRNA from 1 species